GACGAACGCUGGCGGCGUGCUUAACACAUGCAAGUCGAACGAUGAAGAAGAGAAACGCGAACUUCGGUUCAAAUUUCACUUCGGAUUAGUGGCAGACGGGUGAGUAACGCGUGAGCAACCUACCUCUUACAAAGGGAUAGCCUCGGGAAACCGUGAUUAAUACCAUAUGACACAUUCAUAAGGCAUCUUAAGAAUGUUAAAGCUACGGCGGUAAGAGAUGGGCUCGCGUCCCAUUAGCUAGUUGGUGAGGUAACGGCCCACCAAGGCGACGAUGGGUAACCGGCCUGAAAGGGUGAACGGUCACAUUGGAACUGAGACACGGUCCAAACUCCUACGGGAGGCAGCAGUGGGGAAUAUUGCACAAUGGAGGGAACUCUGAUGCAGCGACGCCGCGUGAGCGAUGAAGGAAUUCGUUUCGUAAAGCUCUGUUCUAUGGGAAGAAAAGGACUGUACCAUAGGGGAAAGCCCCGGCUAAAUACGUG
rnacentral:rRNA from 1 species